GUGCUUGCCAAGCAUGGAUGAAGCCCUGAGUCUGGAUUGUGAUGGCAGGCUAGGAAGCCAUUCUAGACUAACGCAGACCAGAGGCCCAACAGCCAAUGCAGUGGUCACUCCCGGGUGCUGGGGACAACC
rnacentral:lncRNA from 14 species